UACAGAGGUCUCAAGCGUUGUUCGGAUUCAUUGGGCGUAAAGGGUGCGUAGGCGGCGCGGUAAGUCGGGUGUGAAAUCUCGGGGCUUAACUCCGAAACUGCAUUCGAUACUGCCGUGCUUGAGGACUGGAGAGGAGACUGGAAUUUACGGUGUAGCGGUGAAAUGCGUAGAUAUCGGAAGGAAGGCCAGUGGCGAAGGCGGGGCUCUGGACAGUUCCUGACGCUGAGGCACGAAGGUCAGGGGAGCAAACGGG
rnacentral:rRNA from 1 species